UAGGGAAUCUUCCGCAAUGGACGCAAGUCUGACGGAGCAACGCCGCGUGAGUGAAGAAGGAUUUCGGUUCGUAAAACUCUGUUGUUAGAGAAGAACAGCGCAUAGAGUAACUGUUAUGCGUGUGACGGUAUCUAACCAGAAAGCCACGGCUAACUACGUGCCAGCAGCCGCGGUAAUACGUAGGUGGCAAGCGUUGUCCGGAUUUAUUGGGCGUAAAGCGAGCGCAUGCGGUCAAUUAAGUCUGAUGUGAAAGCCCCCGGCUCAACCGGGGAGGAUCAUUGGAAACUGGUUGACUUGAGUGCAGAAGAGGAGGGUGGAAUUCCAUGUGUAGCGGUGAAAUGCGUAGAUAUAUGGAGAAACACCAGUGGCGAAGGCGACUCUCUGGUCUGUAACUGACGAUGAGGCUCGAAAGCGUGGGUAGCGAACAGG
rnacentral:rRNA from 1 species